GAUGAACGCUGGCGGCGUGCCUAAUACAUGCAAGUCGAGCGAACGGACGAGAAGCUUGCUUCUCUGAUGUUAGCGGCGGACGGGUGAGUAACACGUGGAUAACCUACCUAUAAGACUGGGAUAACUUCGGAAAACCGGAGCUAAUACCGGAUAAUAUUUUGAACCGCAUGGUUCAAAAGUGAAAGACGGUCUUGCUGUCACUUAUAGAUGGAUCCGCGCUGCACUAGCUAGUUGGUAGGGUAACGGCUUACCAAGGCAACGAUGCAUAGCCGACCUGAGAGGGUGAUCGGCCACACUGGAACUGAGACACGGUCCAGACUCCUACGGGAGGCAGCAGUAGGGAAUCUUCCGCAAUGGGCGAAAGCCUGACGGAGCAACGCCGCGUGAGUGAUGAAGGUCUUCGGAUCGUAAAACUCUGUUAUUAGGGAAGAACAUAUGUGUAAGUAACUGUGCACAUCUUGACGAUACCUAAUCAGAAAGCCACGGCUAACUACGUG
rnacentral:rRNA from 1 species